GAGAGCCUUGCCUCCAUUUUGAACACUGCUGACUGGUCAGCGUGUUGGUUGCUGAAGGUUCAGGUGGCUGUGGCAAUUUCUUACAAUAAGAUAAAGGUGAAGUUGCCACAUUUAUUGACUCUUCCUUUCAUGAAAAACUUAUCUGUAGCAUACAAUGCUGAUUGACAGCAUUUUACUCACAAUUAAAAUUCUUUUUAAUUCUUAAGAAGUCCACUCUCUUGAAAAAUAGGAGUCCACUCACUGCUGCUGCUUUAUCAAAUAGGUUUAUGUAAUAAUCUAAAUCCUUCGUUGUCAUUUCAGUGCUCAUAACAUCUUCACAAGGAGUAAAAUCUAUCUCAGGAAACCAAUUUCUUUGCUCAUCCAUAAGAAGCAACUCCUCAUCCAUUCAAUUUUUAUCAUGAAAUGGAAGCAAUUCAGCCACAACUUUAGGUUCCACUUCUAAUUCUAGUUCUCUUGCUAUUUCCACCCCAUCUACAGUGACUUCCUCCACUGAAGUCCUAAACCCCUCAAAGUCAUCCAGGAAGGUUGGAAUCAACUUCUUCCAAAUUCCUGCUAAUAUUGAUAUUUUGACCUCCUUUCAUGAAUCACAAAUGUUCUUAAUGGUACCUAGAGUGGUGAAUCCUUUCCAGGUUUCAAUUUACAUUGCCUAGAUCCACCAGAUGAAUCACUAUCAAUGGUAACUAUAGGCUUGUGAAGUGUAUUUCUUAAAUAAUAAGACUUG